rnacentral:lncRNA from 1 species
CUCCGGGCUCUGUUUCGCUGAUAUUUCAUUCCAUCUAUACGUGCUUUUGGUCUCUCUUUUUGUUUGAAUCUAUUUGAGUGAAUUUUCUGGAACUUUUCAAUUUCUCGAACGGUAGUCAUUGAUUAUAACUCUAAUCUUUGAUUUAUUGUUGAUUCCCUUUCAAUAGAGUUAGAUAUCGAGAUUUGAGGGUCAAUUCUUAUGAUUGAACAAGUGUUAGGGUUCCAUUUUAAGAGUUAAUUAUCAUCUUACAUGUGCUAAUGGAGAAUUUCUACGUUUUUUGUUCACAGAUCAUUCGUGUAACUCUUCUUUACUCUUUAUCUUUUGCUUAUUUUUCAUGGGUAACUUAACCCUCGUUAAAGGAUGACUUGAACUAGAAGAAAAUUCUUGGUUUGUGAUUUGAUGACAGGUUGCUUCAAUGAAUUCAUAUGAGUUGUGUUUUUUGUUUGUGCUUGAUGUUUUUAUCUGUUUUAUCAUUGAUUAGAUUAUUCAUGUUUAGAAAUGAUAGGGAAAUCUAUGAAUGCUUGAGAUUAGAAUUUCAUGAUUUUGUAGUGUGUGUAUAAUUCUUUCAUUAAUCUUGAUAGCAAAAUUAAAAUUGAUCAAGUUUUUUUUUAGUUUUAUGGAACUAAAUUUUUUUCGCAAAUGUGAAUGAUUAAAUUGUCUCACUCUUACAAUUUUGAGAGAACCAAAAUAUUGAUUUGCUACAAUGAAAAUGCAAUUUUCUUAUAUUUUGAGCUUUUAAAUUAUAGAAGCUAUGUUGUUGUUGUUUUUUUGGAUGGUUUUACAAAAUAACGAAGCAAAACAAAAAGAAAAAAAAAGUUUUAAGUUUAUCUUUUAGGAUACGAGACUCCAUAUUAAGUGAAGACACCCUCAAUGAGUAAAGCACCUUGAAUUUGAUCAUACUUUAUUCAUAUUAUGUUCCCUAAGAACAUUCACCAAUGUAGUGUUACCAUUUCCAUGUGAAGCAUCUCUAAUAUAAAAGGAUGUUAGUAGUAUAAGUGUGCAAGGUAUGAUCACGAUCAACAACAAUCAGGUCAACCACUUUCAAGCAAUCACUCUAACGAAUAAUGUGGUUAUAGCCUUUGUUGUGACAAAAAUUUCAAGCAGUCACUUUCACGAAUAAUGUGGUUAUAGCCUUUGUUGUG